GAUGAACGCUGGCGGCGUGCCUAAUACAUGCCAGUUGAGCGCACAAGGGAGGUACUUGUUCCUAUGAGAUUAGCAGCGAACGGGUGAGUAACACGUGGGGAACCUACCUUUAAGCCGGGGAUAACAUCGGGAAACCAAAGCUAAUACCGGAUAAAAACUUGAAACACAAGGUUUAAGAGUGAAAGAUGGAAUUGCAGUACCCAAAGGUUGGCUCGCUUUGUAUUUGCCAGGUGGGUAGGGAAAGGCUCACAAAGGCAAGCAUACAUAGCCGACCUGAGAGGGUGAUCGGCCACUCGGGAACUGAGACACGGUCAAGACUCUUACGGGGGCCAGCAGUAGGGAAUCUUCCGCAAUGAGCGAAAGCCGAACGGAGCAACGCGGCUGGAUGGAGGAAGGUUUUCGAUUCUUAAAACCCUGUUAUAGAGGAGGAAGAUAGGGGGAAUGAACAGUGCACCACGUGACGGUACCUAACCAGAAAGCCACGGCUAACUACGUG
rnacentral:rRNA from 1 species